rnacentral:rRNA from 2 species
UAACUGGAGGGAAGGUGGGGAUGACGUCAAAUCAUCAUGCCCCUUAUGACCUGGGCUACACACGUGCUACAAUGGACGGUACAACGAGUCGCGAAGUCGUGAGGCUAAGCUAAUCUCUUAAAGCCGUUCUCAGUUCGGAUUGUAGGCUGCAACUCGCCUACAUGAAGUUGGAAUCGCUAGUAAUCGCGGAUCAGCAUGCCGCGGUGAAUACGUUCCCGGGCCUUGUACACACCGCCCGUCACACCAUGAGAGUUUGUAACACCCAAAGCCGGUGAGAUAACCUUCGGGAGUCAGCCGUCUAAGGUGGGACAGAUGAUUAGGGUGAAGACGUAUGUAGUGUGGGGGGUA